CACCGGCGGCCCGAGUGGUGGCCACUAUUAUUGGGUCUAAAGGGUCCGUAGCCGGUUUGGUCAGUCUUCCGGGAAAUCUGACGGCUUAACCGUUAGGCUUUCGGGGGAUACUACAGGCUUGGGACCGGGAGAGGUAAGAGGUACUACGGGGGUAGGAGUGAAAUCUUGUAAUCCCUGUGGGACCACCAGUGGCGAAGGCGUCUUACCAGAACGGGUCCGACGGUGAGGGACGAAAGCUGGGGGCACGAACCGGAUUAGAUACCCGGGUAGUCCCAGCUGUAAACUAUGCUCGCUAGGUGUCAGGGACGGUGCGACCGUUUCUGGUGCCGCAGGGAAGCCGUGAAGCGAGCCACCUGGGAAGUACGGUCGCAAGGCUGAA
rnacentral:rRNA from 1 species